CCGAAAUCAACAUGUGGAAUCACACUGCACCAAUGAACCAAUUGAAGACAGAUGCCAGCUGCACAAUAUUGCAUGAUGAGAUUUGCAUCUGUGGUGGUUGAGUGAUUCUCACUCAAUCCUAGACUCGUGACCCAGAGACCAACCGAUGGACACUGAUCGCCCCCAUGAGCACAAGACAUCGUGGGCUUGCAGUCGUAGCACAAGAAUGCUAUUUCUAUGCAGUUAGGGACCAUAAAGAAAAUGGCUGUGUGGGCAGAGCUGAUGUCUACACCCCUCAGGACAACACCUGGAACUUUGUGUCCUCUAUGACCAGACAGUGCAGUCACUUCAGCCUCAAAGUGAUCAAUGAGCAGAUUUAUGUUGUUGGUGGCCACACCUGCUCACUAGAUGUCA